GUGCUCACUUCGGAAGCACAUGUACUAAAAUUAGAACAGUACAGAGAUUCGCAUGGCCCCUGCGCAAGAACGAAAUAAAAAAAUUUUGAUUUUAUAU
rnacentral:snRNA from 1 species